rnacentral:rRNA from 1 species
UGGUUUGAUCUGCCAGUGUGCAUACGCUCUUUUUAAAGAUUAAGCCAUGCACGUGAUAGUUCAUACAUUUAAAAUGUGAGACUGCGGAAGGCUCAGUAAAUCAGUUAUAAUCUGCUCGAUUGUAUAGGUUAUUGGAUAACCGUGGGAAAUCUAGAGCUAAUACAUGUAAAUAGGGGGAUAAUUUCGGUUAUUCUCUGGCAUUUAUUAGACAAUUACCAAUCGUGGGGCAACCCAUGUGGUGAAUCUAGAUAACUUGGCAGAUCGUAUGGCCUAGUGCCGGCGACAUUUCGAUUGAGUUUCUGCCCUAUCAACUAUUGUCGGUAGUGUAUUGGACUACCGAGGUUUUUACGGGUGACGGGGGAUCAGGGUUCGAUUCCGGAGAGGGAGCCUGAGAAACGGCUACCACAUCCAAGGAAGGCAGCAGGCGCGCAAAUUACCCAAUCCAGACAAUGGGAGGUGGUGACGAAAAGUACCAGAUGACGGCCAAAGGCUGUCAAUUUGGAAUGGAAUCAAUUUAAGCAAUUGAUUGAGGAACGACUAGAGGGCAAGUCUGGUGCCAGCAGCCGCGGUAAUUCCAGCUCUAGUAGCGUAUCCCAAAGUUGCUGCGCUUAAAACGCUCGUAGUUGGAUCACAAACUAUAUGCGAGUUGGCGUGGUGCUGUGCCAAAUGUAAGGAUUCAACGGAAUGUCCUCAUUUCGCGGAUGAUUUAUGUGGUGCAGUUUCAUUGCCGUAAGCUGGUGUGUAGUAAUUGCACGUGAGGAUAGACAUUCGCCUUGAAUGAGUAGAUGUUUGUGUCUCACGGAGUGUGCCUUGAAUAAAUCAAAGUGCUUAAAGCAGGCUAUACGCUUGAAUGUUAAAGCAUGGAACGAACAAUCGUGUAGGGUGCAUGAUGAUUUAUGGGUGACUGGCCCAGCCAGCAUUCAUCAUUGUGUGACACCGACCACCAGUAACGGAUGUUGGUUCCGUAUUGGGGUAUUGAUUAAGAGGAGCGGUUGGGGGCAUUGGUAUUUGGCAGCGAGAGGUGAAAUUCUUGGACCUGCCAAGGACUAACAAAUGCGAAGGCAUCUGUCCAGACCGUAUCCAUUAAUCAAGAACGAUAGUGAGAGGUUCGAAGACGAUCAGAUACCGUCCUAGUUCUCACUGUAAACCAUGCCGACCCGGGAUCAGUUUGGAGCUUUAUUCCAUGCUCGGAGUUGGUCCCCCUGGGAAACCUAAAGUUUUUCGGUUGCGGGGGGAGUAUGGUCGCAAGGCUGAAACUUAAAGGAAUUGACGGAAGGGCACCACCAGGGGUGGAGCCUGCGGCUUAAUUUGACUCAACACGGGAAAACUUACCUGGUCCGAACAUCCGUAGGAUACACAGACUAAUAGAUCUUUGUUGAUGGGGUGAAAAGUGGUGCAUGGCCGUUCUUAGUUCGUGGAGUG